CCACAGCUCACAGCAACGCCGGAUCCUUAACCCACUGAACAGGGCCAGGGAUCGAACCUGCAACCUCACGGGUCAUAGUUGGGUUCAUUAACCGCUGAGCCACGAAGGGAACUCCCCAAAGGCGACUGUUUUAAGGAGUUAUUCUUACUUACGUGUUAAAAUUGAGUACCUUUGACAUACUGAACAUGGCAAAGCAUUACACGCCUAUGGAUUGUUGAGAGAGUACCUGUCUAGCUGCAGCGGAGCAGUGUGUGUUUGGGGCGGGGGGACGACCGUGAACUUGGAGGUGCCUGCCUCCUAAGCAUAUGGUGGCAGAGAAGAGGCUUCCUCACGUCUUUUGUGUUUCAUUCCACAGGGACAGAAUUUCUGUCCCGUAGCCAAUGGUUGAUGUCCCUGUGUAUUUAACGUUAGUGUGGAGUGUUGCUCUGUGUCAGGCUCUGUUCUGGGAGCUGAGAAGAAGCUAAGCCUGUUGACUACAGACUCUGGAUGCUGGUGCCUCCUUGGUAAGAUCCUGUAGGUCUGCACGAUGAGCUGGGUGCCUUUCUUGAGCAUGACAGUGUGGGUGGGCCUGGACAUGACGCUUGGAGCUAAGGUUCCGUACACAUGUCGCAUCAGGAUGAACACAGAGAAGAGAGAUAAAAUGUAUAUAAACACACCACACAUUUGUGGAAGUGCAAGAUUUUCUCUGGCUGGGCAAUCAGGAAAUGCUUCCUGGAUUGAGGAAGCUUUGGCCAGACGUUGAAAGAAGAGUGGAGGGUCUGAGUCUGAGGAAAUGUGAGCAGAGGCAGGGAAAGGGAUGGGAAGUACCCGUGAACAGAGUGACGGUGACUAAUUUCUGGUUGCUGGGCAACAGUGUGUGUAGACGUGACUAACGGGAAGAGAAGCAGCAAAGGUCUGCUGAGGCCAGACCCAGGAGGGCUGCAAGGCUUCUGACUAAAGGAUAUAAACUGAACACCGCGUCACGAGAGCCGUUGAAGAAUUUCAGUCGGGGGGUGACAGUAGCAUCAUCUGGUGUCAGCGUGCAGGGUGGCCUGGGCAGUGAGAAAACCAGAGCCGGGGAAGGCCAGUGGAGCUGUCGUGAGAGGGUCUAGGAAGCAGGAGCAGAGGGCCUGCGUGAGGGGGCGACUGGAAUGGAGCAGACCGCCUGGAGGAGAGGGGGCGGCCGGUGGGCAGGAGGAAGGAAGCAACAUUCCUCCACAUCUUUCCACUCAGGUGCCAUUUGUUACUUCCGCGCCAUUUGCAGGCAUUUCCCGACGUUAUCUCGUGCGGUCUUAUCCUAAUCCUGUGAGGCUGGUAAUUUUGUCCUUACUUCAGAGAUGAGGAAACGAAGGCUCAAAGAAAGAUUUGUCCGAAAUUAGGACACAGCUGAUGGGCGUCGAGCAGCACAUCCCAGGCCUCCCUGAUGUCCGCAUCUGUGUUCUUUCUGCUGUAGGAGAUUUUAAAGAGCACGAAUGUGAGAGGGACGAUGAGCUCUGUCCACUGUGCACGUGUUUAGUUAGGUCUUGGUGAGGGGUCCAUCAGGCACCUGAAGAACGUGGAGCUGAACCUCGAGCCCAGAGUCAUGAGGUGGGGGACAAGGGUUUGAGACUCAACCACGUGCUCGCCGAGGGUCCGUCCGGACCAGCCCCGCGUGGCCGGGCGCGUGGCGCUGCACGAGAGAGCCCCGGGCUUGCUUCACGGAACCACAGGCUGGUGAGGGGGACGCCACUCUGUGGGGUGACUGUCAUGGGGCGUGCAGGUUUGCUACAGGAACACCAACCCGGGGGCCUGACCAAGUCUGGGGACCAGGGUGGCCUCUUAAGGAAGUUGUAAUAUUUACCAUGACUCUCGCGUGAGGAAAGCCCAGGUGAAACAUGAGAAAAAGGCAUGUUAUGGGCAAGGGGACUGGAGUGCACCAAGCCCCAAAGGCAAGAGGGAGACCCGGGGCCUCUGAAGACCUGGCAGCUGUGUGCAGCGGGAACGGAGGAAACAGGCGAGAAGGCAGGAGCGGUGGGCAGCCGCUCGAUCAAGAAGUGCCCCUGAAGCUGCAUUAGGGCAUCUUGUCCUCUUCUGAAGGGCAGUAUUCGUGAUGUUAAGUAUUGGAGUGAUGUGAUUAGACCCAUGUUUUAGAAGGACCAUUCUGUCUGCGGAAGAAUAGAUUUCAGGGAAGCAGGUCCUGGAAGCGAAAUGCUGGUCAGGACACCAUUGGACAGAGGAUUCUGGAUGAGAAGCGAUGGUGAUCGGAUAGCAGGAGAGACUCUGGUAGGUGUUGAAGGAUGGGAGGCGUGUGGCAGAUUGGGGUUCGUUGGCUAUGGACGAGGAGGGGGAGGAGUAAAAGGUAACGUGUAAGCUUCUGGCUGGACAGCUGGCUUGUUGCUGGAACUUUCCGAGGGCACACAGUGGAAAGGUCAGAUUUGGGGUUUAGGAUUAGUAGCUUUGGUUAUCCUGAGUAACCAGUUGGUUUCCUGAGUAGUCAGUAAAGGGAGCUGAAGGCUAAGAGGGUGUGGUCAGAGGAGGGCUGUCAGAGCUUACCCUUUCAGAAGCAAAGCAGUUCAGAUGAUGAGAAAAGAACUGGGUCAUUGAGUGGGCCGCUCAGGUCGGGGGAGGGCUGGCCCUGGGAGACGGGAAAGUUAAGGCGCUCACAGCCCCGAGCUGGGUGGGCUUUCCUGUGGCAGCUGAAGUCACGCACGUUGCUGGCAGGACCCGGAGCAGAGAGGGUCCGUGUGUAGGUGGGUGCCGGCCCAGGGACGAGGUGUGGAGCUUGGGCCCUGAGGUGUGCAUUGAAAACACGCUUUGCAGGGACUUGGUGCCCAGCAUCUGAGAGGGAAGAGGAGCCGGAGCACAGGGGAGGGAGGGGCUGGGACCUGGGACUUACCUCUGAGAGGGAGACCAUGGAGGGGCUUUCAAAGAGAACAGGGAAUUUCAGAGGCCUAGGCAGCCCUCGGAGGUUGGUGCCCGGCAGAGAAGGUGUUAACGCAGGGUUGAGGAGAGGGGACCAUGAGCCACCCUACAACACUGAGCCCCGAGUCUGGAGUGCCUUUGAGGGAGCACCUGUGGGGUGACAGCAGCGGGGAGCCCACGGCAUGGGAGUCAGUAGUGGGAGUGGGAGUCAGAAGGUACCCUAUGUACUUGCAGCACAUUUAGGUUGAAAGAAAAGACAAAGAGGCUUAUGGUAGUUUGAGGGAUAGAAUCUCCUGUAGCAUCUAAGAAUGAAUCCUCCUGUUUUUGAGUUUUUGACAGUCUUUUAGUAUUGCCUGCUGUGUGUCCCUGGUCAAAUUAUUUACCCUUUCUGUGCUUCAUUUGUAAACUGAGAAGCUACCUCCUAGGGUUGUUGUGAGGAAUAAAUGAGUUGAAGAGCUGUGUCUUGCACACAGUUAAGUGCUAUGUAAAUGGUAAUAAAAGCAAAGUAGGAAACAUGUAUAUCAACCAUCACAUUUUAGGCACUUUUCCCUGAGUAUUCACAAUAAUUAUAUAGUGUCAGCAACAGCGAUCUCAGGUCACACACACACACACACACACAAAACAACUCAGAGGCCCAAAGGGUUUUAAGUAACUUAUUUCAGGUCAUGCUGAUAAUGUGCAGUGGAACUGGGACACAGGGCUCCUUCCACCUGACUUUAAAGUCAGUGGUCCUCCCACUGGGCCGUGCUGUGUGCUGGGGCUGUUGCAGAAAGACUCGGAGCCUUCCGUGGCCAGAGGCCGCUGAGCGGUUGUACAGGGGCUGUGCAUAACCCCACCCGGCUUGGUUCACUCAUUUGUUUUAUUCGUCUGGCCCUAAUAAGUUUGCAGUCUUUGUUCUAGAAGCUGUCCCUUCUGUGGACUGGUAUGUAUUCCCCUGACUCUCCCUACUGUUCAGAUGUCAUCUUCUGUAUCUGCUUGAAAGGCAUCCUUCAGACAUAGAACUCACCUCUUAAGAAAUGCAUGGCUCAUCUGAAUUUCUUGCCUUUUUUUUUUUUUUUUGUCUUUUUAGGACCGCACCUGUGGCAUAUGGAGGUUCCCAGGCUAGGGGUUGAAUCAGAGCUGAAGACGCCAGGCUAUGCCACAGCCAUAGCAACACAGGAUCCAAGCCACGUCUGCAACCUACACCACAGCUCAGGCAACGCCGCAUCCUUAACCCUCUGAGCAAGGCCAGGGAUUGAACCUGAGUCCUUAUGGAUGCUGGUCAGGUUCGUUAACCACUGAGCCACGAUGGGAACUCCUGAAUUUCUUGCCUUUAACCUGAUCUCAGAAAGUGAAGUUGCUGUACAUUUUGAGAGGUUUUUCCUGCAGCAAAGGAAAACUGAGCACCAUCUAUUCGGAAAGGAGAGUGAUGGCUAAUUUUCUGUGUCACCUUAGCUAGAGCACAGUACCUAGAUAUUUGGUGAAACACCAGUCUAAAAAGUCUAAAAAUACCUGUGAAGGUGUUUUUAACUGAGAUUAAAUUUAAAUCAGUAGAUGUUGAGUAAAACAAAUUAUUCUCCAUAGUGUAUGUGGGCCUCAUCCAAUCUGUUGAUGUCCUUCAGAAAAAAAGAUUGUUGUCCCCCCAGGAAGAAGGAAUUCUGCCUCCAGAUGGCCUUCUGUCUGGAGACCACAGUGUCAUCUUUUCCUGGGUCACUAGCCUGCCCCAUAGUCACCUAAGUCAAUUCCUUGAAAUUCAACCUGCCAGUCUGUCUCUGCCUUUGUCUUUCUCUCUGCACACUCACACAUACCACAUCUUAUUCGCUGUCUUUCUCUGGAAAACCCUGACUCAUAUAGACAGGAAGAUACAGAUGUUGUGAAUUGUCCUGCUGCUGCUGAUAUUAGCCAAAAACUGCAUCCGGCCUCUCUAGGCAUUCUUGGUGUAGAUGUAUAUUGCUUGUUGUGUGGACAAGAAAGUGAAUUGUAGAAGGGAUGUGGUGCUCCCACUGUGAUGGAGAGAGCGAAUAAGAGAGCAAGGAGAGAACGCUGUUUGCCCAGGCAUGGUUCAGUUGCUCCCUUGCUCUUUGGCGCUCAUAUUCUCAUCAGCAGGAUAAUAAAGUUACUAGGUUGGCCGUGCAUAAUUAUUGCUCACAUUUAUGGAUGAUUUUCUAUAGGUCGGGUCUAGCUUAGUUGCUUUACAGAUGUUCAUGAUUUUAAUUCUUAGAACUACCCAUUGAGAUAGGGACUACCAUUGCCCCAAGUCCCAGAGAGCUUCUCGUAAGUAGAAACUAGAUAUUGUAUUCAGUACAAUUUAUACAAGCUUAUUUUUCCCUCUUAGAAAUAGUUAAGUUAUAAUGAUGAUGACCAAAAGAAUUACUGUCAAUGGAAGAAGCCUAAGAAUUUAUAUCCAGCUCAAGGCCUUGCAAGAAUGCAGAUUCAUUCAGUAAAAACUCAGUUAACAGCCUGCUUUAUUUCAGACUUCACUUCUUAGCUUUGGAAAGCUUCAAAGUAGGGCAGUUUACGUUUGGGAAUGACCAGUCAAAAUAGCAAGAUAGAUAUAGGUAAGAAUCUAAUGUUUUAAAAAUUUAAAUGGUAAGAGAUGGAGCAUGCAUCAAAACAGCUUGCUGGAGCUCUAAAAUUAAUAAAUACAUUUGAAAAGUGCACCCUCUCAGCCUUCUCAGACUCAGAAUUUGGGGGGGUGCAGUUCCUCUUUUUGAAUCUCUUUUUUGAAUUGUUUAUGUUUUUAGUAAGGAGGAAGAAAAAGGUCUCCUUAAGAAGCCAUUAGGAAUUAAAAUUAAUUUCAGAAUUCAGUAUUGUUUAGAAUAUGGUGAAGACUGAUUUGAAAGGGCAGUGCCCGGUUUGGUCUUCCCUGGAAAAGAGGGACAGGCGUGGUCCCAGUCAGCCCAUCUUUGCCAUGGUGGGAAAAUGGCGUUGCUUUCAUUGUCGUUCUUUCAUUCCCUUCCUUGCCAAGCCCAGUGGCUUCUGUUACAACAUGUGGCAACUUCUCCCUUGGAGACUAACUCAGUCCAUGUUGCCAUAAUAUUUAAGGCCAGCUACAAAGGCAUAUCUUCCCCUAAACCCAUGCCAAAUCUAAAUCAAACUGUCUUCUCCUCCUUGGCCAUUUCAAGAGAUCCAGCUCCUGUUUGAAAAGCACGAGAAAUGCACAGGUCCCUUUUUGUUUCCUUGCCUGUUCCAACAGGUAAAUAAACAAGGCACAUCAUGCCUAGUGCUGCUUUGAUCUUGGUUGCUUCCUUCUAAAAUAGAUUCUGGGGCGUUCCUGUUACGACACAGCAGAAACAAAUCCGACUAGAAUCCAUGAGGUUGUGGGUUCGAUCCUUGUCCUUACCCAGUGAGUUAAGGAUUUGGUGUUGCUCUGAGCUGUGGUAUAGAUCACAGAUGCGGCCUGGAUCCCAUGUUGCUGUGGCUAUGGUGUAGGCUGGAAGCUGUAGCUCCAACUGACCCCACCCUGGGCACUUCCAUAUGGUGCGGGUGUGGCCCUAAAAAAAAAACAAAAAAAAAAAAAUUAAAAUAGAUUCUAAUACCAUGUUCAUUUUAAGAAUUGCAACUUAGAUGCUCUAGAAAGAACAAAGCAUAUCUUAAGUCUGUCUACAACAAACUACCACUGUCGGUACUGAUGGAGGAGAGAUGAGUAACUCCAAAGUCAUGGGCCUUCAACAGGUGCAGCUCUGAGCUUCUCCUGGACAAGCCUCAGCUUCAAGAGGCCUGGGCCCAGGCGGGGCAGGGAGACAUCCCUAUCCUUUGUGGCCUUGGACUGUCCACCUGAGAAAAUGUAUAGGAAGGGAGAAAAACAAGGAGUUCUGUUUUAGACACAUUGACUUUGAGAUGCCUGUUGUGAUUCCAGGGAUGAUGUUGGCUCAGCAGCUGAAUGUUCAAAAGUGUAAUUCAGGGGAGAGGCCCCAGGCGGAGAUACCAGCACUUGGAUGGUGUUAUUUCUCCAGCUGUUCCUAGAGUAGCAUUUAACCCAUCAAUUGAGAUUAAUUUCUUGAAGUUCUAUCCUUCUUUUUGUUUCUGAUCAAUCUACUUGCCCGGUCACUUUCCUGAAGUGUGGCUUAUAAAAGAAUAAAUGAGACUGAGCCUCAAAGAAAGUAGGGGACAUUGCCUCUAUUACUACCUCUCUCUUGGUGUUCCGUCUGGUCCAAGUGAAACUCCCUAUAUAAAUUUGCUUUGGGAACUGAAAAAUAUAUAUACGUACUAUAUUUGAUUUUAAUGCCUUGUUAACUGUUUGCUAAUAGCUAAUAUUCACCUAGUGCUUACUUUACAUGAAUUAGCGCAUCUGUCUUCACAACAACCUGUGGCAGGUAGAUAGUCUUUUUUCAUAUUUUAUAGGUGGGAAGAGUAAAGUUCAGCAAUGGUAGACUCAGGAUUCUCAUCCACAGAGUUGGCUCCUAAAAGCUGUGCUCUUAGCUAAUAUGUGGGGCCACCCCGCUUUUCAGUGACAAGUUUUGCCUGGUUCCUUCAGCUUCAAGCUUUCAAAAAUUUUAGGGUCACAUUUCAGCGUGGGCACCAUGAACCAGCUACAAAACGGCACUCAAGGCAAAGGACCCUGGCAAAGGGCCUUGUCUACACUGACUUAGUUUCACCACUGGGCUGGCCUCAGACCUCACAGGGCACUGCCCACCUACCAAGUCUCCACUCUGUGCCCAUUUAAAAUGAUGCACUUAGGGAGUCCCUGUGGUGGCUCAGUGGUAACGAACCCGACUAGGAUCCAUGAGGAUGCAGGUUCGAUCCCUGGUCUCGCUCAGUGGGUUAAGGAUCCGGCAUUACAGUGAACUGUGGGGUAGGUCACAGACAAGGCUCAGAUCUCACGUUGCUGUGGUGGCGGAGUAGGCAAGUAGCUGUAGCUCGGAUUUGAACCCUAGACUGGGAAUCUCCAUAUGCUGAGGGUGCAGCCCUAAAAAGAAGAAAAUUAAAAUGAUGCACUUGAUUUAAGUUCCUUGCCUGCAGCCACCCAGUGAGUCAGCAGUGGGCCAGGGACUAAGAUUUGGGCCUCCUGCCUUUCAAGCCUCACACUUGCUUUGUGUUAAUAAACGGUAUUUAUGCAGAUCUGCCAGAUAUUUGAAAGUGCUUAAUUUUACUGCAGUAAAUACUAAGAAUCCUUUUUAAAGCAUGGAAACCAAGCCCCAGGCAGGGAAAACACGAUUUGCCUUCAGAGCCUUUGACAAACUCACAUUGGCACUAGGAUUAGACCAUAGCUUGUUGGCCUUGAUUCCAUCUCCUACUGAGGCUGGCUGAAGGGGUCAGGAGCCCUGCUGUGGCCACAAGGCCAAAGCUGGACCUGAAAAUACUCUUGCAGAUGAAACUGGAACACACGACGUCCUACCCACAGAGUCAGCACGUCACAGCUGACUGCCAUCAAGGGAUGCGAGGGGGAAGGUUAUAUUCCUGGGAUACUGGUGGUCAGAACCGACUGCUCUCUGCCUUUCCUUCCUUCCUUCCUUCCUUCCUUCCUUCUUUCUUUCUUUCAGAUUUUUAUUUUCUCUCUGCCUUUCUUGGCUGUGUGACAGGUGCCCUGCAGUUACCUUCCUGUGGUUGUGAACGUGCCAUAGGAAGGCCUCAUCCAUCAAGAAAAAGCUGUAGGCAUCCAAGAGAAAGGGAGAAGGAAUCGUGAAUUGUAAACUACUUGAGUGCAGAGAACGCAGGGAGUGGUUUCUUCCUUUCGUCAUCAGAAGAAGGCCAGACGUGCUGUAGACCCUCAGCCAGGGAUACAUUGUGAUAAGCUGAUAGAGAAACACUGAGAGGAAGUGUUCAGCAAAAUGAAAGCUGAAUUUCCAAGAUGGGUCUGAUUGUGUUCAGAUGAGAGCGGGGUUUGAAUGCAGCUUUCACCUGGAACCCUCAGCGUUAAGGUGCACAGGGCAUGCGUUAUUGCCUUAAUUCUCACAAUUCCCCUGGCAGCCUGGGAUGGUAGGAGCUGAUGUUCACCUCUGCGCUGACAGAAGGGCUUUAGGCAGUUGUGGCAAAAAACGGAGCCGAUGAGGGGCUGCGCUCAGCUCAGCUGGUUAAGUUUCCUGUUGGUGGCUCUUCCUCCCCAAGAUGCUUCAAGACUGCGUGCGAUAUCAAGUUGGACUUGUCUGUUCACACUUUCGCUGCGGUGCACGUGAUUUUGUCGCCACUUCCUGCAGCCCCUGUCUGUUCAGAGCCUGAGCCUUUAAGACCUGGGGCUGCAUCUCAGCUCUGUGGGUCACGGGCUGUGUGAGUUGGGCGAGUCCUCCUCAGUCCAUCACAGCGUCAGAGGCCAUGUCCCAUGGGGAAGGACACCCUGGAUGCUCCCCUGCCCCCCGCCCCAGAGCCUGGCGAUAGGAGGCUUCCUGAGCAUCCUCUUCGUGCCACAGUCUGCCUUCCUGGCUGUCACAUCUGAUGUUGUCCUCUGCCCCCAGCAUCUCUGCUUGUGAUUGGUCACGAGCUCCUCAUCGAGAGGUGUGCUUUACCAGAAGCUCCAUCUCUGUGUGAGUGGUAAAAAUGAGGAGAAUUUCUUGAGAACUCGUUCUUCCUUCACGUAAGCAUAGCCAGAGUUAAAAUCAGGCUUUGUAUUUCUGAGACAUACUGAAUGAAUAAAUAGGGAAGAAAUACUGGGCGUUUGUCACAAUUCUUAAGCUGUCCACUUAGAGAAGCAUAGCUCUGUAUUUACACACAGAUAAUUGGAAGAUUCAGUUACGGCUCGCUUUAGUGGCUGUCUGUGUCAUACGUAAUAAUUUUCACUUCAUGUUAACAGAUCACUUAGGGUUACUAUGAGAUUUGAUCAGAUAAUAGUUACAAAGACUUUUAAAUUCUGUAAAUGAAAAAAUCUGAUGAAACUGUAAAAGUGCUCCUUCUGUUCACUGAAACCAAUACGGUUGCUGUUGCAACAUUUCUUUCCUUUCCUUCUCUCUUUCCCUUCCUUCUCUCACUACUUCUCGCUUCUUCCCUUCCUUUCCCUCCUCUCCCCUCCUCUCCUUCCAUCCAUCCUGCGGGGUUUUUACAGGGAUAACACUGACACUAAUUCUGCCUUCAUGGAAUUUACAGACUAGCGGAAGAAACAGGCAGCUUUACAAGCACGCAAAGGUACUUGCAGGUUAUGAUGUGUUAUGACCAAAAAAAAAAAAAAAAAAGGCAUUACAGUAAAGAGUCUAAAUAAAACCUGGUGUGUGCUCUCCCUCUCCAUGUACAUAUUAGAAGCCAAGGAGAAUGACAGAGCUGUUCUACUGUUACCUAUCGGAGAGUAGGUUUAUAAGCAUAAAGAUUUGGUUUUAUAAAGCUACUUAUCACAGAAUCAUUCUUGGAGAUUAGGUAUUAGGAGUUUGUUUUCAUAUAGGUAAAGAAUAGAUAGGUAGAUAGACAGAUGGAUAGAUAGAUAGAUAGGAUUUUUCCUAACAAGCACAAAUGACAAUUGGUGAAAACUAAUUUCUCAUGUGUACAUUAUAAGAUUGAAUGAUGACUGUUGGUUAAGUUGUAAUAAACUGGAGGAGAAACUUCUAUUUUUUUUAACAGAUGAGUUUAGAGCAAGGAUAUACAUAUUCUCUGCCAUUUUCAGAAGAGGAAUUUGGAAAGGGAGAGCUCAUUUCUGAAGUGUUUAUGAUAGCUGUCUGUUCCUAAAGAAAAUUCCUGGAAAAUUCCCAUCACUGUCCUUAGACCGAAAUCAGGGGUUGGCUCUGCUCCUCAUAUAAGGUUCAGUGGGCAAGGGAGUGUGAAAGAAAGACAGCAUCCCUGCUGAGGAUGGCCACCCUGGCUGGCAGGUCUGCCAGCUCAGCCUAACUUGUAGGCGGGGAUACCUCUGAACGUGUGCUCGGAGCUCCAGGCUCAGCGUACUUCCUACUUCCUGUCACUUGAAAAGAGGGCUCUGGAGCAGGCUUCUUCCCAAGCCCUCCACUAAAGCAAGCAAAGAAGGUGGCAUUUCCAGAGUUUAAAUGCUGCCCUUGGGACAAACCUUGUCUCUUCUUCGAUGGCCCUUCCGACUAAAAGCAGCCAGGAUUUUUAAACCAACUGAUGUUUAUAGAUUUCCAAGCAGAGGAGAAAAUUAGAGCAGAAACCAAUUAAAGCUGAAUGGUAUCUGUAAAAUUACCUUUUUCUCAAGAGGAGUAGAACACGAGAUCAUUGAAAGUUUGUGUUUGUGAUUGAUUCUAAUUAUUCUUAAAUAAUUUAAAAAUCAUUUUAAUGUUAAGAGUUCUCUUCAUGUCCAUAUCACCAUCAUUACUUCCAUGAGGUUCUAGAUCUUUUGUAAACAGAUUAAACCUGGUGCCUUCCUUCUGAUGUGAAUUAAAUCUAGAUCCCAAUUGAUAUUUGGCACCUUCUAAAUACCCAGAUGGGCACAGCGCUUGCCUUGAAGUGAAGACGUGCGUGGGAUUUUAAUCACUUCAUGUUUUAUUUUUUCUCUUUUAAAUAUCGCCUUUUCAAUAGUCGCUUCUUAAUGAAUGACUGAUUGUUUACUGUGGUUUAUAACCAGGAAUUUGAACAUUAAAAAAUUCUAAUCAAAAUACAGAUGGAAAAAAUUUUCCCACUCGAUCUCUCAUCUCUCAGAAUAAAAAAUAUUUUGUCUUCCUUUUGGAAACUUAAUAGUUUAAGAAAUCCCAUCAUUCUCUUCUUGAAAACUUUAAUAAAUCAGUUCAGAAGAAAUUUAAUUAUAGUUCUUAAACUAUAAAAACUCUUAUAAAAUAAAAACAAGGGUAGGGCUAGAAUAAGUUUCACCUCUUGAGCGUAACUGCCAUUUGAAAGAAAAUGCAGUUAAAAAAUAAUUUUUGCUGCAUAUUCUCCAUUGUUUAAUCACCGAAAGCACUUGAACCUUUUUAAAACAGCAGGAGCAAGACACAGAGUUUAUCAUCUGCCCCAGGUAAGAUUAUUUGAGUCCAAAGACCCGAUUCCAAAACAGGCCUCCGAUCUCUACGGAGCACAAGAAAUAUCCAGGACGCCCUGAAGGCAGAAGCAGUGUCUUCUGUUGUAGGGAGUCGUAAGUGAGAGUCUGGAUCAGAGUUAUGCCCCCUUUUAUCUUUGGAAGUGAGUACCUCUCUGUAGCAGAUUAUUCCCUUGAAACAAGAUGUAACCACGGGGAAGUUAUGGAAGUGUCCAUCUAAUGAAGAAAGGAAAGAGCUUAUAAAAGGGGCCAAGUUGCUCAAGGGUGUUAUUCCUUCUGCUCAACUUCUUUUCCAAGUACGAGCACAGACGUCAUGGGAGCAGCUGUUUCCACUGCCCUCUGUUUGUUGUGCUGCUACGACACUCACACUCCUCAAAGGCGACACUUCAGGCCCCGGUUUUCCAGCUUCGGCUUUCCCAAAGGCCCCUGAGCACGGUGGGUUCAGGCUAGGGUCUGGGUUUGGUGAAAGUUGUCAGCGCGCCAGGGGCAAAGGACUGAACUUGGGACAAACCUGUGGCAACAGAAAGCUGUUCCCUGUUGCCUGAAAGCAGUGGGAUAGUGCUUUCAGAUCGUGCCUGCUGAUCACCCGGUGUGUCUAUAGUUAGCAUGGCGUUUAUAAUGGAAAUAAAUGAGCCAGCACUCAGGUAGCUAAAUAUAAUUUAUAAUUUUGAUGUAAGGUUGAAACAUGAAAGAUCAUGCUUUUCCAACUGCUGUGAUGACUUAUACAGACAACUCAUUCUAGAUAAUGGUGAGUUAAGCCUGCCAGCCUCUGAACAUUUUUCACCCAUUUGUUCAAACACCUGCAGUUGGGUGCUAAACGUGCAUGUUUCAUUGCUUGAACUUAAAUUAUAAAAUCCCUAAAGGAUGUUUCUGUCCUAGAGAAUAAGGUAAGUCUCUUGCAGAAGCGGUCUGCCUGCUCUCGUGAGCUCCUUGCCUCUCUCAGGGCCUUUGUGCCAGCCCCUCUUCGAAGAGGCCUGCUUUGAAAUUCAGGAAACUCAGCUCUUCAGGGAAAAUGCAGAGGUCUGAACCCUGAGCAAAAUCACCACAGGCCUUCCCUGGGGAGUCCAUUCUGUUAGAAAUAAGCUUAAGGCAGGAGCUCUACUUUACCCAGAUUUCUUGAAGGUGAUGACGAGUGUGGUCUCAGGUCUGUUUUAUCAGCACAGAGGCUGCCUCUAUUUUUAAGCUCCAGACAUUCACCUCUGCUGGGGCUGACUCUCUGCAGCCACAGAAAAUACCCGAACGAGAGGAAAAUGGGCCUUCCACAGAGCAGGGCGCUGUGGGCUUGAGCCCUGUUAUUUGUCCCUCCAGUGGUUCCUAGCUGUUGUGACGUCAAGGCUUCCAUUCAAAGCAGAGAAAAAGGAAACCGUGGCCUCUCUUCGCAUCAGUAGCCCGUUCAAGCUGUUGUUUCUCAGGCAUCCACAACGCUCUCUGUCUGGCAGAGCUGUGCAUUCCAUGCCUGGGUGACCUGGUUAAAUGGAGGAAACCAAAUGCUCUCUGCUGAAUGCUCUCCAAAACAAGCAUUCCACCCUGAGCUCCCGAAGCCCAGCCUCACUGCUUCUGAGGACUGUAAAAGGAGCCGUGGCGAACUCUGUAUUAUCUGCUUGCAUAUUCAGCUUCUACUUAGGCCUAAAAGCAAGCGUAUCAUUACCAAUGGCCUUCAUUAAUAUACACUGCAGCAAGAUUAUGCUGCCUUUGGGGUUAAUGCUACAAAAUCCUUUUAGGAAAGCCAGUGCUCUGUUAAAAACCUUCAGGAAUCAUGGAAGUCCAAAGCCACUAAAUAGCCACUUCUUCCCAUCACACGUCUGCUCACCUCAUUCCCCAAUGUCAGGUUUCCGAAUUCUAGAAAGUCUCUUGUAUUUACUUACAUAUUAAUUUCACAUGGUGCAUUAUUGAGCAUGUAUGGCUUCUCCAUGGAUAUGAAAAAGAAUCUCUACUGUAUGGGGUAGAUCACAGGCACUGGAUUUUUCCUUACAAGAAGUAUCAGCUUUCACUUUUCAGAGAGAAGACACUAUUUCAAAGUAUCACAGAGCCACGCUUUCUUUAGGAACAAGCCAAGGUCCCUACAGCAAACAACCAUCCUGUGAGACCAAAAGCUCACUAAUAAUGAAUUGAUUGCUUAACUCACAUAUCUCAGAAUUUAAUUCACUCUUCAAAGGGCACACCUUCUUGGGUUUCUCUGGCAUGGGAGACCACAUUAUUUUAUUAGGGUCUCAGAGGUGGACCCGAUCGUCACUAGAAAAAGCACAACCACCACACUUCCAGAAUUGUCUCAGUUAAGUCAGUAGUAUACUUUUGAGGUUUUCUGUUACAAAUCUCAUUACCUCUUUCUCAAAAAUAGCCCCUCUCUUGAACCCUUGAUUGAAGGAUAUUUGCAGAAGCCCAAACCAUUUAAUUUUAUACACAGGUAUAUAUACUACAUUUUAUGUCAGGAAGGAUCUUGAUGUACAGUGGGGCCUUUUUAUUUUAUUUUUUUGAAAUUUUUUAAUUUUAUGAUUUUUAUUUUUUCCAUUAGAGUUGCUUUACAGUGUUCUGCCAAUUUCUACCGUACAGCAGAGUGAGCCAGUCAUACAUAUACACAUGCACUCACUCCUUUUUUCACAUCAGCCUCCAUCACGCUCCAUCACAAGCGACUGGAUAUAGUUCCCUGUGCUAGACAGCGGGAUCUCAUUGCUUAUCCACUCCAAAUGCAGUAGUUUGCGUAUAUUAACCAGUGGGGCCUUUUUAAAGUGGAUGAUUAUAAAAUGAAGCUUCUUCCAGAUGAUGAACUCUUGUCUUUGGGGGAAAAAGUAGAGGUCUUCAGGUAACUGGAUAAAAGGUGGAAUCAUGGAGUGAAUCUGGUCAAGUUAGGAUUUAUACCGCAGGUUUACUAGACUCCGGUCUAGCUUUACCUACACAAUCAGACUUGCCCAAAGGCAGGCCUAAUCUCUGCCACCAUGGAUACAGCAGUGGGGCUGGGGCAUAGAGCUGACGAGGGUAUAUUGUUUGUGGGUGCAUUGGACUAGGUAAGCCUAAGAAUCUUGAAAUGAGAGGACACCUAGGACCUGACUUUCCUUUUGGGGCUAGAGAAUUAGUCCUUUUGUGGUUCGCCACUAUCUGCGUAUCAGUAAUCCCUUUAUUCUUCCUCUUCGUAUUAUUACCAUUUCAUGAGGUCCUUAUUAUCUGAAGAUAACUGCUACCAGAAAACUACGACUUUUAGAGAAUUGACCUAAAACACAAAUCAAGUAUUUAAAGCAAACAGUAAAUUUUUUUUAAAAUUGGGAUUAAAUCUUGGAAAGUUUUUCAGAAGUUGAAUCUCAGUUUGUUUUACAUUAUAUAACAUAAAUUUCGGGUAUGAUACAGCAGUAUGCUAUUUCUUAGACCGAAGAUUGAAUGUUUGCUUCUGUGGCAGAAUUCGAGGGUGAUUUUUGUUAUAAGCAUUAAUUUCUCCAAGGACCUCUGUUAGUCUUUUGUUACACAAACCAUUUUUUUUUGAAGAGCCUACCUCUCGUGUAAUCAUUUCUGUUGACUUUUGCUUUCUCAGUUGUUAACUGUUCAAACUCCCUUUGAUCCUUAUUUGUCAGUGACUGUGUGUGACUCAGCCUCACCUUUAUCAACUAUGUGUAAAACUGCAGUUUCAUGUUACAAGUGAACUACGCUCUAUUUGCAUUUUUAUUCUGUGAUACUAACCAACCAAGGAAGUGAGUGGGAAUAGAUGCUGAGGAUUAAAUAGAUGAAGACAAGAGACGAAGUGGUCACUUCGUCAUUGUUUUUAAUAUUCUGAUGAUCGGUGCUUCCUUAAGUAGCCUGGUAACCACUGGGACUCAGAGAAUGAUCACUCUAGUAAUUAGGGACACCCCCUCCCAUAUUAUGGUACAUUUAAAGCACUCGAGAUGGCUUAGUGGGCUUUAUAAUCAACCACAUGUAGAUUUGUAUGCCAUUCCUGGCACUUAAUAGGUUUUAGGGCAAAUUAUGGACAGAACCUCAGGUUCUCGGUGUGUAAUGUAGAGUCAUAAAACCAACCUUGUGGAGUGGUCAUGGGAUUAGAGCCCAUAAAAUUCCUGGAUAUUGCAUAGUGUAUGCAGCUCAAGAAACAUUAUCCCUCUUAGGGCUGCUUGCAUUUCUAUCAGGUCUUGUAAUUUAGGAGGCUUUGACAUUCAGUCCAGGCUGAGGAACUUCAACUUCAGCAAAGUCACUGAAGAAUUUUAAGGUGUGCUGUUACCCGAGGAAACUAAAUUUCAGAAGAUGAUAUUUGCUGACUCUGUCUGUCAUGAAUUAGAUCGUAUAAUGAGAGCCAUUUUCUUUAUGCUGUAGGUGAGAACCCUGAGGCCCGAGGAAAUCAUAUAACUUUCUCAGGACCCUGUGGUUUGCAGCUGGCACAGCCAAACCCAGGACCCAGUCUUCCUACUCUUGACUGUGCCUUUUCUGCCACAGUUGCUCAUGGGCAAGUGAACCACUUAAAAAAGGCUGUCAUACUUGUCCAAGAACUAAGUGAAGGAGGGCCGACAUAUUUCUUAGAAGUGGGAAUGGCUGGAAACAAGUGUUGAUUAGACCUGGCGACCGACUGGCUCAGCACUCCUCCGUUAAAGAAGGAGGUCAAGGGUCCAAGCUUUCCAUCCCGGUCAGAUGGCCAUACAAUUAAUUAAACUCAAAUUAGCAGAAUUUGUUGGUUUUGUGGUUUCCCAAUGAAUUUAAAGGGACCACCCUGUCAGUUGCAAGUAUUGACAGUAGGAGAAGGUGCCUGUGCUGAAGAAAUAUAUUUGAGACUCUAAUGCCGAAGAAGGACAGUUGAAACCGUUGUGCUCUGUAGAAGUAUAUGCACCUCUGUGUGUGCGUGUGCUCAACGGGAUCUUGUGGCAUAUUCCCACGUCAAGGCCUUACUGCCCAGUUAUCAUUCUGCCCAGUUAUCAUUACAAACUGUUCUACCUCCGCCAGAAAGAAGCGCUGUUCCCAUAGAUUCUUCCGUGUCUGUGUGUUUGUUUUGUUGGAUGGAUCCUGCUGCGGCCCGGAGAGACAGACUUUGCUGGGCCCUGUUUUGUAAACAAAUCUGUUCAUGCACACUCUCUUCUAUCAUUGUAUGUGUACACUGGCUCUGCUUUUCCCACCAGACACACAGAAGCCUAGGAAUUUAGAAACUUGUUUUCGUCUAGAAGUGUGCAGGCAUCCAAGAAAAAUGUACACACGCAUCUUAAAUGUGCUCAUCUACCCCACCUAAGUGUUUGACCCUUCUUGAUUCUAACUUGGGGCCGUGAACUCGGCAUGAACAUCGCAGCCCACUACACACACAGGGUCCCCCUAGGGGGGCAUCCUUAAGCUGCCACUAACCUAUUGAUGAAGCUCAGUAAAUUGAGAAAGCUCUUUUUCACCCUUAAAGUUCGUGUGGGCCAUAACUGGAAUUAGUCCACCAAGAUGAUAAAGCAUGAUACCGGUUUUUCCAAGGAGAGGUGAAGACCCUUUCUCAGAUUGGAAUAUGGACUUGUCAUAUGUAUCCAUACAGUCACUUCCUACCUGUAGUUUUUUGGAUAUUUCAUUUACUAUUCCAGCCAAGUUCAAGUUUUAUGACAGGAAGUAUGUGAAUGGUUAUAACAGGAGUAAAUAACAUUUGAUUUUAUGAUUACAGUACAGGAAGUAACUUUUCACACCAAAUCAAUCUUGGAGGGGAAAAAAAAGUGCCUGCUUAUAAAUGUAACGUACAUAAAUUUCCCAAAAGCUCUGCUCUCUUAAGUGGAAAUAAAACCAGAAUGUGUUCUUAUUUCUUUCUUUUCCUAAUUUUUCUUAUCAACAAAUGUCUUUGUUUUGGGAAGAGGUAUUUUUCAGUAUUUUACUGUGACCCAAUAUGACAGGGACCCAUUAAAAAAAUUCUAAGUGAAAAUAAUAAGGCCAAACUUUAUAGAAUAAAUAGCAUGAAGAGCUUGAAUACCCUUCUUUUCCCUUGAAGAGUAAAAUAAGCAAAUUAUCAACCACCAUCGAAGCCAAGGCGGGCCCCUAGCUUUUAAUCCUGCCGAUUUCCAUGUUCCAUAAACACGUGGGAAAGAGAGUUUCAGCAGCUCUGCAGAUGAGCAAGUUUACGAGAAAAGAAAAAAUUGAGCAGAACUUCAAUUAUGUCAUCAUAGGAGAACUUACAUAGAGGCUUUGUUUUUCCCUGACUUGAAGAAAGAAAACAGGAAGGAAAGAUUUUUUUCUCUCAUCUUUCUCUGCUUCUGAAAGCCUGAGGCGCUUGUAGUGAGAAGCCGUCUAACUCACACAUUCCUGAGGACUCAUAUUAUACACAUAUGUGUCCCACAAGUGAGUGGAUGCCUGACAGUCUGAUCACGCUACCCGAGAAGGGCUUUGCAGUUCUAGUGCGGGCACAGCCACCGUGGGGCGCAGCCUUGGCAGAGGUUCGAGCCUUCCCUCUGGGACAGGAAGCCUCACUUCACCACACUGACUGAAAACCGGAUCUCUAAGAUCCCUUCUACCUCUAAAACUCAGUACCACACAUUUUGCAAAGAAGUCGUUUAAGCAAAUUACACAAAACUGUUCUCGGGAACAAACAAAUGUGUUAGAGUUACCGGUACUUAGUUCCCAUUGGUGUUUUUUGAAUUCUGCAGAGAAUAUAUUUGCAAGUGGCACGCGUAAAAACCUGCCUUGAGUAAUAUUCAAGGCAGUUUCGUAAGAGAGGUUUCACCUGACACUCAUCGAACCCUGGUGCAAGGGGCAGACGUGCUGAGGGAUGGCUCCAGCAGAGCCGGCAAGGGCAGGCUCCCUGGAUUCAAAUGCCACCUCCAACCACCUGCUGAUGGCGUGACUCUGGACAAGUCUUUCAACUCCUAGGGGCCCUGUUUCCUUAUCGGUAGGAAGGGAAUAACUAAAGAAUCUCGAGUUGCCAGGGGGAUUAAAUGAACAGAUCCCGAGUAGUUUCUUGGUAGUGCCUAAACCGGUCCUGGGCGUCAGUUGGCUUUUAGCACAGGCUAUUAAACCGGCUUAAAGAGGUUGGGUGAUCUGAACCAGGGCAAAGAGCAGCUCAGAAAAGAGGUGGGAGUGGAACACGAGGCCCCCUGACUUCCCGUGUUGGGUCACGUGCCCUUCCUGCUUGAGGCCACACCCCCUCCUUUCUAUAACAGUGCCGCCAAAGAGUGCACUCCUUCCCGUUGUUUAAGAGCAAACUUUCAGUCAGUGACCACUAUGAAGAACAUUUGUGACAGGGUUUUGUUCCGUUUGGGGAAGUGAGGGGACGGUGGGCCCAGGGGUCUGGAGAGCAGACACUGAUUCUGUAAACUUGGGCUUGAAUGAUGUCCACAGCAGAACAAAUUACAGCAAGACCUGAGUGUCCCUAUAGUCUGAUCCCAUUUUAAAUACCCAACCUUAGGAAUGGUCCUUCCCCCUCCCCCAUUUACAGGCGUUCCUAGCAGGCCACAGCUUCUUGGCGACAGUCACGUCUGUUGGGUUCACAUUCUCUGUGUUAUUCCCCACAAGCAUGUAUUUUUAUGAUCUUUAUCCUAUUUUGCUCUACUUUUCCUUUCUCUUUUUAAGACAUCAGCAUUGGCCACCCAGGACUUAAGAGGAAUUUUCAUAUAAAGCACAGUCUGUGAUGGGAACAACUUGCACAGGAGCUUUGGGAACUGUGAACCUCUGUGUGAACGUGACACAGGGAGAGGGGACAUUAGAUAUGCUAAUAUUUGAGUAGCCUUCUGGCCUCUAAUUGUUCACCAGCCUCAAUCAAUAAGAUUUUUGUAGGUCGUAGGUAUGUGCAGUUGCACCCCGUGUAGGGUUCCUGUCCUUUUGACGUUAGGCUGGGUGUUCCCCUGUCUAUUGAGCAAGUUCCUAAGGUCUUGAGAGUGAGGGCAGAGGGAUGCCUGUUGUAUAGCAUCGUUGGUUUGCGUUAAAUUCUUCAGUUCAGUUAUUGAUGCUGUUUUUAUUCAUCCUCAAUUUGAAGAUUAUAUUCAUGCCAUGCAAGUGGUUUCCAUAUUCUUCUUUUUAAAAUAUCAAUACAGUAAAAUUAUAAAAACAUACCACAUUCAUGAAAGUUUCCUUCCAGAGUAUAGAUGCAGAUGGUAUUAUUAUUAUUAUUAUUAUUAUUAUUAUUAUUAUUAUUUUGCUUUUUAGGGCCUCACCUGCAGCAUCUGGAAGUUCCCAGGCUAAGGGUCGAAUUGGAGCAACAGCUGCCGGCCUACACCACAGCCACAGCAACGCAAGAUCCCAGCCGAAUCUGCGACCUACACCACAACUCACAGCAACGCCAGAUCCUUAUCCCACUGAGUGAGGCCAGGGAUAGAACCUGCAUCCUCACGGAUACUAGUUGGGCUCGUUACCACCGAGCCACAAUGGGAACUUCCUGGUUUUAGGAAUUUUUUUUUACAUGUAUUCUUGAUGUUUAUCUUGAGCGUUCAAAAAUGAGAAACAUAGGAGCUGAGGUUUAAGUAGCAAAUUGUCACCACAUUAGAAAUUAAGGGCUUAGCAGAGUUCCCAUUGUGGUGCAGGGGAAACGAAUCUGAAAAGGAACCCUGAGGUUGCGGGUUUGAUCCCUGGCCUCGCUCAGCAGGUUAAGGAACCAGUGUUGCCGUGAGCUGUGAUGUAGGUUGCAGAUGUGGCUCAGACCUAUCUGGUGUUGCUGUGGCUGUGGAGUAGGUUGGCAGCUAUAGCUCCAAUUAGACCCCUAGCCUGGGAGCCUCCAUAUGUCACAGGUGUGGCCCUAAAAAAAAAAAAAGUGAAAAGAGGAAAAAAAAGAAAUUAAGGGCUUAGCGAUGCCAUGUAACAAAUUACGUGAACACAUUGGAUCUGUUUGUUUUUAUUCUUUGGUCUCAUUAAGUGGAAGCUUGUGUUUUUCUCCUCCUGCCAUCAUGAACCGCCCCCCCCAAUUCCCACCCAAGAUAGAAGCGCAUUAAUAGCCUGAAAAUAAAGGACAGGCUUUUUCUAAGCUCCUCUUUUAGCAAACUGUCUACUAGUCCCUUCAGAAAAUGAGCUCUGUCACAUUGAUGCUCUUUAAGAGAAAAGCAAUUUUUCUUACUCAAUUUGCCCAAUUGUCAAGAAAUUCUACUCUGCUAUAAGUGAUCAGGUUUGGUUAAAGUCGAGAGAAAUACAUACAAAAGGUCAUAUUUUACUCCUUUGUGGUUGGCUUUCAAAGGAUGCUUUGAUUCGAAAACCAAGCAGUCACUGUUAACAUGAUGAGGUCUUAAAACAAGUGUUUUUCUGCCCCCAUCACAGACAUAUCUGAAAAAGGCCCCUCUUCUCCCAAACCCCAGGGAUGACACUCAGAGGCUGUGUCUUCAGUGUCUCAGCGCCCAGGAGGGAAGAUCAUUUCCAUAUUUGAAAUUUAGGGGCAAGCGGAAAUAACUUUGUUUUUCUCAAAGGGUUAAUACUCUAAACAGCUUCAGAUUGGUUCACUCGCAUCUUAAAAUUACUUUUCUGGUCACGCGCACUGAAGGUCUAAGCAUUUGUGAAAUGUCUUUUUCUUUUUCUUCCUCCCGAUGCUGUGCUGUUCUCUUCUGGCUGUCUUAAUUACACAAGGGUUGAGAAACCAAAUUAAAAUUAGGCGUGGCUGGUAAACAGCGAUCACGUUGCCUGCUUUCAGCUUUGCUUGUUGGAGUUACUUCUCCUUGUAUCACUUUCCUUCCCACUUUUUUUUUUUCCAAAGGAAAUAUCAUGAGCUCUUUUAGAAAUACUCACAGGAAGUGAGUGUCCACACGCCGGUUAUUCACCAGCUGAGCGCUGACAGGUGGAGGUACUGCUGCUGCCCUCCCAGAUUUAUUUGAGCAUUUCCACCAGAGCAGGGGAGUACUCGGGGUAUACAGACCAAAGGGGUUUUGUGUACUGAGGGAGUUGUGAGAGGAAAUUGGUCAUCGCUCGUCAUCGUGGUGGACAGUGACUCAGGGAGCUGUGAUGAGGGGUCAGCAAGGCACGUGGCCGCCGUCUCUGAGGUCUCUGCUCCCUACUCAGGGGGCGGGCUGUCUUCUAAAAAUGAAUGCUCCCUCCACCGCCAGCAACGAUUCUUGUGCAGUGAAUCACUUCCAGAAAUGAAUAGCCACAGUUUUUUGGAAUGAAUGUUGUGAAAUCCCUCGUUUAUAAUGGCAGGUUUUCCGUUGGUGGUUUUUAUCAGAGAGAAUUUCUCAAGAUCAAAACGAAACCUCCUCUUUACAAAGAAAGAAAGUACUCUCGAUACAGAAAGCAAAAGUAUUUCCACUCUCCUCCUGACGAGCUGUCACAGAAGAUCUCUGUACCUGUGUUUAGAGAUCCACGUCCAUGUACUUGCCUGAACGCACGAGUCCUUGAAAUCACGAGUUCAUUGCCGUAACUGGUGGUCUCCUAUGCAGCAGGUUGCUAACUCCGAGCAGUGUUAUGUGCGGUGAGUAGGUGGUAGACUCCGAAGAUCAUUGCUAAUCCAGUGUUCGUCCUCUUGAGUCAUGGAUUCAGAGGACUGCCAGCAAGCUCUUAAAUACUUGCUGUGCCUUAUAUGAUUUAAUGCAUGGAGCUGCAAGACUCCCAGAAGCCUGUGAAAGGUUUUGCAGAGCGUGGAUUAAUUGAAUAAUCUUUUGAAUAUACUAGUCCUUGGGAGGAAGAAAGGAUGUCUUACAGAAGGAAGCAGUUUGUGGGUCUCUUAGAGCUACAGUUACUGCUCUCCUGUAUUUUAAGUGUCACUCUAUCCUCUUGUGUGAAAGAAAUAAAUGACUGCAUGGUUUAAUGGAGAAGAAGUUACGCCAGCUCUUUUGAAAUGAAGAGACCUUCACCCACGUGUUACUCCUCGCUGGACUGUCGUCCUCCUGCCUCUUCACACAGAGCAAGUUUCCACGAGCGAGGCUCCCCGUCUGGCAGCAUCAGUGAUGCGCCUCAUCCAGAACCCAGUGGGCCCGCCAUGGGUUACUGGCAGCACUUUUAUCGAGGGGCAAAGAGAGGAAAUCCAGUUCCUGGAAACAGGGAGUGCAGUUUCAGAAAUCCUUCUCCCUCCCGAGUGGAGAAGUUGUUUGACCUACUGACUCAUUUCAUAGGAAUUGGGAAAACAACCUAGUGUGGUUUUCAUUGUUCAUCCUGGAGGCUUCCAAAAUCUGCGUCUGUGCAAAUAAGAUGAGCUGGAGAAAGGUAGUGUUGCCACUUGCUGUUUCUACCUGCCUGGUCUCCCGAUGGGAUUCAGUCUCUUGCUUCCAGCGCAAGUCCAGCCUGUGCCUGGGGCUCCGUUGUGUGCCUGUCCAGUGGUUCCAGUUUUUCUCUCAGAAGAUCCUGAGGCCUGCUUCUCUUCCUGGACUGUAUCUUUACCUGUGCUUCUCUCUCUUCCUCGUCUGUUCACCUGCUGACACCUGCUUAUUCCUACCUAGGAUUUGUCUCAGGUAUCACCUCCUCCAGGGAGCCUUCUGCGUUAUGUUAGAUAAUGUGAUGUAUGUGAUGUAAUUGAGAGAGGAGACUUUUUCUCUGUAUCACAGUGUCUGGCAUGUUACUGUCGCUUGCUACUCGUAGAAGGAAUAAAGAAGACAGGAUAAAACAGGCGAAGACCCAGAUCACUGAGUGUUCCUCUUGGGUGUGACGGAGCUGGGCCGAGAGUAAAGGCACGCAGCCGGACAGUGCAGGUGGAAAGGUGCUCCAUCACCUGUCACCUCUCAGGGCAGCCCCAGUCCCCUCUCCUCCUGCCCAGUCGGUCAUCUUUGAGCAUGCUUCAGCCACACCACUCUCACUCGAGGCGCUUCUGUGGAAGAGUUCCAGCUUCUUUACCCUGGCUGUCCGGACUCUGUCCACCUGGACCACACACCAUUUUUGACAUGUGCCCUAGCUAGCGUCCAUCGUCUAGGACUCAGGAAUUAUUUGUUGAUGGUCUUAACUACUAGGACUCAGGAAUUAUUUGCUGAUUUGCUUAACUACUUACUGACAGACAGUAUGGCAAAAGCGCAUCCUGAAGUGUCCAUUAAGACGUAUGCUAAACCAACUAUACUUUAGUUUUUUGAAAAGAGCAAGGAAGGAGAAAAGACGUGAGCUUCCGACCAUCUGUGGGUUUGAGGCGCAGUGCUGGCCGCAGUGCCCAUUAGAGAGCUCUGUGCCUGCACAGAGCUGACAGCCCAGCCGGGGAGGAGACGGGACAGUGCAGGCCACGCUAGGGAACCAGCAGCAGAAAUGACCGUGUCGCAAGGCAGUGUGUGGUUAAUGGCCAGACACACGGCUCAAGAAUGAAUCGUGUAGGUUCUCCACUCCAAAAGGACAGAAGCCAGCCUGGCCGCCUGUUGACCCACGUCACACAGCACAGGUACCCUGCCAGUCGCGCAGAACCCACCCCCCUGACUCCAAAGCUACAGAAAUACUGAAGAGAAUGUGCCGUUUGUCUCUGUAGCGCCCACAUUCCCUGAAAGACUCUCUCCUCCCCCCCUCCCUUCCUUGUCCAACUUUGUCCCUCCUUUGAGAGGCUCCUCUUCCUUUCAGAGCAGCCUAGAGACCCUGAGUACAGCCUGCUGACCCUGCAGGCAGCUUCUGCCAUGGAGUGGAGGGCGGUGCUCGUGCGCUUCUGUCCUGUGAGGGACGUGCACCGCCGCAGGGACCGUGUCUUUUCCCUCCAGCACCUGACGCUCUGCGACAUGGAGCACAUGUCCCUUAAGCGUUUGUCAUUGACCGAAAGGACUUAACACGUUAGAGGGGCUGAGUAACAUGGGUUGGCUUUAUAGGGUUAAGACAUGAAUGCUGUGAGUGCAGAAGAGGGUGACAAGCCAGAGUGGUCCAGGGAGACUCUGCAGAGCAAGCAGGGAAUAUUGGGCUGGGCCUGGGAGGCUUCGUACAUUUAAAAUGGGCGGAGAACCCCAGGUGGAGUAGCUCUGUGCCUGUGAUUGCUGCCAACCCAGCUGGUCUCUCGAAACAGGAAAACAGACCAGAGGGAGGGAGCCCUGCAGAGCCAGGCAGUGGGGGCAGCUUGUUUUAGUUGGAGCAGAGGGUUUGUCUAAAGGAAGGAGAGAGAAUGCCCUGGCAGAAGGAUGGACUUAGGAUGGAUUUAGGUGGUGGAAAGACCUCAAAUGCAGCGGGGUAUCUUGUCGGCAGCGGGCGCUGUGGAUUACUUUUGACAACCACAGUGACCUGAUGGAAGUGGUGUGGAAUGUGGGAGCUGCCCUGUGGCCCUGCCCUCAGUUUGCAUCACAGCCCAUGGUCCAGGUGGUCACCACGAUGCUUAGGACCCAGGUGUGAAGCCCCUCGACUGCACAGCGCUUCACCUUGCGGGGCUGGACCUGCCGUAAACAGCGGCUCUCCUUCCGGCAUUGCCCUUGACCUGGCUCUGAGCUGUUGAGGCUUUGGGUCCAUUCAGCUCUGUCCUGUCCCUCCACCCUCGUGACUGGCAAUGACCCGGAAGGGGGCAGCACCCCCGCAGCAGGUGGCCUCCAGAGCUGAGUCACUGCCCUGGGAAUGGUGCCCUGGUGAGGCUGGCUCAGGCAAAUGGGCGAGCUCUCCGCCCUGGCAGAGCCCAGAGCCCAGGAGAAAUAGAUUCCUUGUGCAUCUAGAGGCAUCACUGAGCUGAUAAGAAAGUGAAGUAAAGGCAGCUGGAGACCCAGAAGCAAACUGUCCCAAUGAUAGUUUCUAGCUGGGUCUUUGGCAGAGUCCAAAGCAUUUUUCUCACAAUUAAACGUACGGGCCGUGGUUGUUUUAUUUGAACACACCAAAAUUAUCCAUUUACGGAUACCCUUAAGAAUGGAAUGCAAAGGAGUUUAAGAUAAUGUCUUAAGAUUCUUUUUGACCUUGUAAAUUACAAGCGCUUAAGGAAUGAGCUUAAGGAUUAAAAUGAUCUGGAGAGUUAUUCUUGGAAAUUAAUAAAUGAAGUUUAGGUCUUUUUUUUUUUAACACGUUUUCUUUAUCAUUCCUAAAUACUCUGAUGGAUGUUGUUUUUUGAAAAUGAUCCUGCUUUUAAUUCAUCACAGAGAAGAUAGAAAUAUAGUGUUGCUUUUGAAAGGAGGGUUUUUUGGGUGGUUUUUUUUCCCCUAAGUCUGGCUUGUUUACUACACCAAUGAAUAGAGAUGACCUCAGUCUGAAAAAACAAGCUAACCAUACUCUCUCUCCUUGCCUGGCAAAAAAGGCCUUUAUCAAGUAGCAAAAGACAGCAAGUCAGACCACCAAGUCAUCAUUUUAGCUGAUUAGAUUUUCCAAAAGACAGAACAGUAAGCUCUCCACGUUUUCACUGCUGAGCAGUGGCUCUUGGGAAAUACUCCCAACUCAGUUUCUGUAAAACCUUAAAAAGUCUGGUGACAGUUACUCAGACAGCUGCCCGAAUGCAGAUGCUACAGAUGUGGUUGCCCAUGCCCUCGCCCCUGUGAGAUUUCAGAAUGGGAGAAAAUAGCAUCACGUCUCUUGCUUUUUGAGUACGAAAUUUUUUAAUUAAAAAAGAAAAAAAAAAGCCGAAUUCUUUGUUCCUUUACACGCCCAGUUAAUUCUCUGCAGCAGAAGUGUCCCUGGGGGCCCAAACCCAGUCAUCUUCUCGGGCAAAUGGCCUUGAGCGCCGCGUGUCUGCGUGCUCUCACUGUCCUGGGGUGGUUUUCAGCAAGUCCCUGGACCUCAACUACUUAGUUCCCAAAGAUGCUGUGAGCCUGUGACUUGGAAGUUGGGUUUUUCUCUGUUAUGUUGUUUGUUUACUUUCCAUGAGCCACACAGAAAUCUGGUUGGACAGUCGAAGGGUUCCCACUUUCUCUCCGGGGAAGAAUUCAAGCGGAUUCUACCAGAGACCAGAACCAUAUCCUGUCUCCUACAACCUUUGUGGUUUCAGAUCAAUAGGAGGCCAAAUCGAAAUGCAUUGGAAGUUCAAUUGACUUUAGAAUCCACUCCAGUCCAAAGAAUCUCUAGAUUCACUGCAUUUGGGCGUGUGGUUUGGGGAAAGAGGAUUUUUUUUUUUUUUUUUUUUUAAAGGAGGGUAGCUUUAUUCUUUAUUUUUUGACCUAUGUGGGAAGGGAGAACUGACCUGAUUUGGGGGAGAGGUUACAAAAAAGUCAAUCCCGGUGAAAGACUGGUGAGCAUUCUGCCCCCACCUGAGGACGGCCUGCGCCUGUGAAAAAGCCGGGGAAGGGACCGACAUGACAGCGUUGACGCAUCCUGGCGUCAGAAGGCCUUAGGGAAGCUCUCAGGCCCUGAUGAGUUAAAAAGGCAGAGGCAGCCAGUCAGCGAGUGCCCGCCUGGGCACGGAUUUGUUUAUCCUGCCCUUCUGAAGUCAGAGCCAACAUUCUUCAUGGCUUUGAAUGAUCCGGAAUGUUUCUCUCUUGGCAGGGCCGGCUUUGCACACACGGGCGUGUGUACGACUCAGGCCCCCGAGAUGUGGGCCAAAGCAGAGCCAGCCUCAGCCGAGGUGUCGCAUCUCAGAAUCGUCUUGUUUUAGAGCAAAAGGGAAACUGUCACACACAGCUGCUUGUGUCAGAGAUGGAGAGACCGAACCUGGGUGGUGGUGGCCAGAGGUCACGGAACUGGAGGAGGGCCAGCGGGAGCCAGGCCGCCCGCCUCUGACCGCACGGCUCCUGUCCAAGCCCGGGAAGAGGCUCCAGGGCGCCCUUGGCCUCCCAGCGGGAGAGGCCGCUGCCCUUUGAGGAAUGCUUAGAAAAUGACUUGGGUCAGAAAGGAGAGCCUCAUUUUUACAAAAUGAAACAAAUCAGUCAUUUAUUCGUCAUAGGCAGCUUUCCCCAAACUUCCUUUGUCAGUGCGGCCAAUUUAUUAGCUCCUGGGCUCCCAGAAAUAAGAAAAACACUGUCUCUAUCUGUGCGCCAAAAUGGGAGACUCGACCUACUCCCCCCCACUUUUCUUUUCUCCUUUUGUAGAUGAGAACUAACUAUUUCACGCUAGUUCUUAAUAAAACAAACGCCGACUCCUUCCCGCAGGAGACAGAAUUGAGCAAUGUUCUGAGAACACGCUGUGCUCCUUGGGGCACUGAGUCAAUGUGCUGUUUUAGAAGAUGCUCCAGAAGCUUGGAAGUGCCUCUUGGGAGCGAAGCAAAAGGGGUGGAGCCGGGAGCAGUGACUCACCCUUCCUGCCUGGCGGCGGCAGGGAGCCUCCAGGAGCCUGGAGGAGAGGACUCAGGCCCCAGGAGUUCCCGCUGGGCCCACGCGCCUCCGUGUCCUCUGGCCCCACCACCUCUGCACCCAUGAGAGCCGCGGAGGAAGCUCUCUCCUCCUGGCCCUCUGCCCGCCGCUUCCAGGAGCCCUGGGAGGACGAUGUAUCUGUAUAAGGACAACCUCCUGAGCCGAGAGACGGUCACUUACCUGAGGAGGAAGAGCCAGUCAGAGCUCAAGGGCUGCAGGGGCCUUCCGGGAGGCGCUGGGGCUGCAUCUAUGGCUUUGUUGUUACCAGCGAGAAGCGAGUCCCUCAGUCCCAGUAACAGUAAAUGCCAGCUGCCUCCCAGUCCAGGGAGACGGUGCCGCCGGGAAGACCAGCCCGUGACCAGCUUCUAGCAUGACUUGAAGAAAAAAAUCACCAUGUUUCGUGCACCUCAUCACCGGUGUUGCCUUCGUCUUUCAGUGCUGGCUCUAACCGCGUGGCUGUUGGUUAACCCCUCCACGAGAGAUGGACUGUCCCCCGGACGUGGCCCAAGUUGGUUCCAUACACGCUGUUUUCCUUCGGAGCCCUUGUCACAUCCUGUCGUCAUCGGUUUGCUUACACUGGACUCACCUGCCUUGUUUGCUCUCGUGGCCUCUGAGCCUCAUUCACCUCCUGGUACCUCAUAAUCUCGGUGAACCUGUGACUUGUGAACAGGUGCACGUGGCUGGAGUACCUCAUCCCAGCUUCUGAUCCUCUCUGUCUUUUCCUGGACUCGGACACCCUGGCUGAUUUGCUAUCCUUUCCUCCAGAGAAGCCCCCAGAUCCACAGCUUCUACGCACUGAUGCCCAAUACUUGUCUUUCCUACCAAUUUCCACAUGCUGACUGUCACAUCUAUGGAAAUGUUAUCCAAUGAUUCUUCAGUGUUCCCCGUUCCCAGGAACAGGGGAUGGGGAGUGGGGGGUACCAUUUCUUGAAGAGCUAGGUACCUGUGCCUUAUUUGAGAUACUUACAGGUUCACGACUCUGAGAAUCAACACUAUUAUUUCCACUUUACCAAUAAAGAAACAAAAGCUCAAAAAAGGAUCGAAUAGCUUGUCCAAGCUGCGUAAGGAAAAUCUGAAUCCUGGUCUUUCCGAUCUCAAAGCUUACACGGCUCGUCAGUCUGCCCCCAGUUUAAGCAGGCUGUUAAAUCGGAGGUUGCUUAAUAGCCCUUGACGUGAAAAAGGCAGCACACAGGUACUAACUCAGAUAAGCUACUUCUUGGGAGGAAAGGGGGAGAUCAGGCAAAGAUAUUAUCGGUAGACCGAUUCCAAGCAAGGAUUGACAGAGGUCAGCCUCUAAAACCGUAAAGCUUCAAGAGGAAGACCAUUAGCCCCUAAGAAGCCCGCCUUUGGGGCCCUCUGUGUCAGGGGGCUGACGGCGGGGGGUGGACGUCAACCCCUGACCCCUCUGGAGAAGGUGGCAGGAACCCCGUGAGUGAAGCCCGCUCACUGGCUGUCGCUCCCCCUUUUGGCGAUGCUGGGAGCAGCCCGCAGCCCUGUGCUCAGGUGAGAGCAGCUGUAGAAGGUGCAGGUCUCCAGCGCUCAUGGGAGGGGAGAGGCACGGCGCCGGCCGUUCGCGGGCGCUGUCAGGCUCACGCCCUCAGAGCUGAGAAGUCUCAUUGCCGCCUCGGACGGUGCUCCUGACCCAGCCUGCCUGUGCUCCGUCUCCCCACCUGUAGGCGAUGCCCGUGCAUCGGAGUCUUUGCAGGCUGAGACCCAGGCCACAGGACCCUUCCCGGCCCCUUAAAGGAGAAUCAUGCUGCAGCGUGAGGUUUUGUCACCUGCUUGGACCAGAGGCUUAAAUGAACUGUUCCACAUACUUUUCCAAAUACUGGAAAGCUCCCAGAAAACAAUAGGCUGGCGCUCCCUGCAGUCUGAAGCACGGUUACUGUCACAAAGGGACAGAGCUCUUCCGUGACUUGGGUCCUUUCCUCGUGUGUAUGAUGGGACAACUCUGGAAGCAUGCUCUCUUUUUAUAACAGUGUUUUAAAAUAUUCCAGAAUCGGGUGCGACUUAAUAGCUUUGCAUUGGCUUGAAUUUUGUGUUCACCCUGACAGAUCUUCCUUCCCAUUUGUACUUUUCUGCUUGACUUUUUUAGAUUUAUUUUUCUGGUGUUAGACAGUAUGGAAUAUACCUAUUGCUUGUCUCAGCCAUUUCUCUUACUGGCCAAGAUCCUGUUGAAUGCCCACCCCACUCUCGAGAACCUCCCUGAUGUAUCAUGUCCCUGUUUUGACGGCAUCUUGAAGCACCUGAGCAUGGGCACUCCCCUGGUCCCUUGGCCUAAAGAGCACACGCUAAGUUUCCUUCUGUGGUCGGUCCUGAUGCGUCCGCUGAUGAGCAAGCCUGCUCUCUGGCCUCGCUGUGGUUAAGUACCUCAUCCAGGGCGUUGUAAUCAUUAACUUAGACACUUCAAUCAGUGGUCACUUGACAGGACAGACUUUCCUGCAUCGCACUGCUGAGUCACACAGCCUCUCACUGGCUGAACCGUGAGCGUCGGAGAGUCAGGCCUCCCCAAGGAACCUUCCUUGGAUCUGCUCCGAAGCCCUCCCAGGAGCCAGGCAGGUCCCCCUGCAUGGAAGACUAAUUUUUAGGGAUGGGGACCUGUGCGACCUGGGCUUCCACUCCUGUGAUGUGCUCAAAGGUGAAUGCCAGCUUCAGUGUUAGACCACGUAGGCGGAGGAUGUCCUGUGGCUCCAGGUCUAAAGUGCCCUCCACCCGAGGUCGGAUUUACAGGCUCAUGCUGCCCUCUGCUGGCCAUCUGGAGUCUGUGCUGCUGCAGAAGAAGGCAAAAUCAAUUCUGAAAAUUGAAACCUCCUAUCUUCUGUGCAGGCUGCUUUCAUGCUUUUCCUCCAUGAUUGGAGGUACAAGAUCAAUACCAUGUUUUAUUUCAGAAGACAUCUUGCUGAUCAAACCUUGAUGGUCUGCAAAACGCACAGCCUGGGCGGCAGGCAGGGGGCGUGGGGGUGGGGGGGAACAGUUUCCUUAGCAGCAGCCACACCGGCUUGAGGAGGUGUGUGGUGCUCACUGUACAGGAAAGAGAGGUGCUCCUUCAUCCUCCUUAAAAAAAAUUCAUCUCUUUAUCACAGUGGUAGAGUAGCAAGAGAAAACAACUGAUUUUGCUUCCUCUGCUGCUCUGGAUUAGUUCCUAAGGGUUCAUACUGUCAUUUAAAUUCCAGGUGCUCAUCUUCUGAAGAAACGCCCCCUUAGGAUUUCUGUGCCUGGAAAAUACCCAUCAACAGACUGCUUUGAUAUCUUGUGUAAGUAGAGGCUUGUGCUCAUAAAUCAGUCUCAAGGGAGCUUUGGUUUAUUUUCUUGGAUGAUUCACCAGUACAUUUUCUAAAUGAUCAUCAGUGUUUGAUCUCUAUUUCUUUCCUCCUAAAUACUCAACUUUCAAUCGAUUCUCAGAAGAAGUCCCUAACAUGAACUCCUGCUUAAAACCAGGGUUAUGGAUCUCAUUUUCAGGUCUUAAAAUAAGAACAGACAGAAAAUGUUACAGCUGCUUACUUCCAUUAACUCAGCUGGAAACGCCGUUUGUGGAUCCGAGGGCACCUUUUCAGGGUUCGGGGCACGUCAGGCUCCUCUGGGGUUAGCGACUGUGGGACGCUCACCUGUAGCGCAGACGUGAACACAGGAGCCGGGAGCCCUUCUGUUUGGGAGGCCGAAGCAGGUCUCUUAGCCACGCUCUGCUUCUGACGUGGUGAAGAAAAGCGAAGUCAUUGUUUUAUCGUCGUAACCAUCACCGAGUGAAUGGGAACCCGUGCUGUUUCUAGCUUUUCCUUAUCUAGCUGAACUCUCACAACAAGCUUAUGUGGUAUAGACCCUGAUUUCACAGAUGAGGCAACUGAGAAUGGCGGGGGCUGCUGGACUAAGAGGACGUGAGCUUCCUUAGAUUAGUGGGAAAACAAGUCUUUAAAGAAGAUGUGACUUGCUUAAGGUCACCCUGCAGGUCAGAGUGUGGCUGAGGGUCCAGGGCCAAAGCUGGUCGUAAUUGUUUGCUCACGUGCUUAUUGAUGAAACCCUGAAACUCGGAGCCGAUUGAUGUUCAGAGUUCUGUGUAGCCACGCGGAGAUGAGCCCUUACCAUUUCUAUAAAGCACCAAGCGGCAAAGACUGACGCCUGGGAGCCUGGGCCUGGAAUCUCGCAAGGCAGGGCCUGAAUCCUGGGCUUGCCGUCCACAGGCUUUGUGUCCAAGAGCGAGACCUGUACCCUCGCAAAAUCUGUUCCUUCCCCUGGAAAAUGGAGAUAACGCCACCAGCCUUGUUAGGUGGCUGUGAACACUGAGAGAGCACAUGGCAUAGUGCUGGCACAGAACUAAGCCUUCCAGAAAUGGAUGCUGCUACUGUUUUCAGAGCACCUUCUCCAUCUGCUUCUCGGUUCAUUCAGACCUUCACCCGGAAAAGGCACUCCAGUGUUCUGAUCUGAUGAAACAGUGAACAUUUGUGAGGUGCUUUAAAAAUUACAGAUGUUUCUGUAUACUCCCGAGCACCACUGCAGGAUAGGAAUCUGCAUCUCCGCUCUCCAGAUCGGCAUUCUUAGGCUCGGCAAAAUCACAUGCUCCCCAGGAUCCUGUAGUUAGUCAACAGCACAGCCAGGACCUCAACUCAGAGCUGCAGCUCCGGACCCUGUGCUGAAUAACUUCAUUUGCUUCCUGUGAGGCAGCAUUUAUUAGAGGCAUGUACGUUAACAGAAAAGCACUUCCCACCCUGGGAUCCCAACCGGCCACAGCUGCAUCUUUAAUCUGGCCUAAAUAUUCAAGUUAGGACUCCUGUAUCCCGAUGUCUGUAACAUUUGGAAGCCACUGUCUUAAAGACGUGUCCUAGUCAGAUACGGUCUCCUCGGGUAUUUAAGCCCCAAGGGACGUUACCUUAAUCCGGUUUUCCUGCAAGAACAGACUGGCAUUUCACGUCAAGGGAAACACCGUGUCGCCACUGUUCUGCUUUUGCCACACUGGAGUUACCUGUGUGGUUUACGGAGUCACAUUUCAGGCUCUACCUUGCCUAUCAGAUCCGGAAGCAAAAAUCCAGAGAAGGGCAGCUUGCUCAAAAAGAGCAUCAAGUAUGGCAGGGCAGGUGGGAUUUUGAAAUGGAAACACAUUCCUGUGGCUUUUGGGCUGAGGGAGACGGAGGAAGGAUUUUGUUCCUGACAAGUGGUUCCCUUUGUGCUGGGGAUGGAGCAUUCAGCAGGGUUAAACGUGUGUUCCAUGUGUAAGUGGUGGGAACAAAUAACACGCCUUUCCAAUGAUGCAAUACCUUAAACAUGGCUGAGGGUUAAAAUAGGAGCACCCUGAGUUACAGAGAGUCAGCCCUGUCCAUCUCCUGGCCUGAACAUGCAGAACAGUGGGGUCGAUUGUUGGAGACGGAGGGCAGGAAGGCGUGGAAAGAUGCUGUCGUGACCGAGUAAGAUCUUUCCCUGCAGGUCAGUGUCGCUGACGGACUCGGCAGAGUAAGCAGAUGCCAGGUGCUGGGGCCCGUUUUCCCACGUGUGUCCUGGAAGGAGAAGGAACGAGCCCCUGAUUUUUUUUUCCACAUCCCUACUAGGGAACCAUGGGAUUUUUUUCCCCCUGUGUGAGUUUGAUAGCCACCCUGCCCACUCAGACCUCUUUGCAGGAAACCGGCCUCUUGCUUUAGAAGAUGAUACAAAAACAGAGGCCCAAACUCAGGAGCUCUAUUUCAGUGUAUUUUGUGGACGUCAUUUUAUAAUCGCCAACUAAGUACCUCUGGUUCCCACCAAGGGCUUGCCAGCUUCAAGGACAGAUACACUACAUGACUGAUUCUGGUGCUAAUUACUCUUUUUCUGCUAAAAAUGCCUCCUCAUUUGAAGAGCCAUAGAUGGGAAAGAAUAUAUCCACCUUUUUUCUGCUGAUUUUUUUGAAAAGGCGUAUUUAAAGGAUAAUACAGUACCAUCUGUUUGUUUCUGCUGAGGGAAGAGAACAGUAUGGUUGCAUGUGUAUUAUGUGUAUGCGUGUGCAGGUAUGUACAUGUGCAGAUGUGACCUUUACUUGAUGUAUGAGAUAUGUAUGACCUUAGAUAUAAGUAAAAGGAAGAAAGUCAUUCUUUAGGAAAAAAAUUUCCCCGUAACUGAAAUGUCAGUCAUUAGUUAAAAAUGAAAAAAAAUUAGGGUGUUCCUGUCAUGGCUCAGUGGUACAAACCUGACUCGUAUCCAUGAGGAUGUGGGUUCGACUCCUUGUUCUGUGGGUUAAGGACCCGGCAUUGCUGUGAGCUGUGGUGUAGGUCACAGACGUGGCUCAGAUCCCACGCUGGUAUGGCCGUGACAUAGGCCAGCAGCUACAGCUCUGAUUUGACCUCUAGCCUGGGAACUUCCAUAUGUCUCGGGUCUGGCCCUAAAAAUAAAUUAAUUUAAAAAAAUAGAAAGUAGGCCUUUUUGGAUUUUGGAUUUUCAGCUGAUCAGAAUAAGAGAAUCUGGCUGAACCUUGUAUACUUGGGUUGCUGAGAUUAUCAAUUACAAUAGCAUUUGCAGAGAGAUGCAGUGGAGCCCAGAUUCAUCACAAAAUUAGUAAAAUAGCUAUUUGAGGAGGCCAGUGAUUCCCGUGUCCCAGCACUUGUUCAGGUUGAAAUGCUUGCACGUCCUUUCCAGUUGAGAUAUUUAACUGCCUGUGGCUUCAUGGAGCAUGUGUAUUUCUUUGCUGGCAGCACGUGGCUGCAUCCUUGUGAAGUGAUUGCUGCACGUCUCUGCAGCCCAUGGUGUCCUCGUCCCUUGUUUACAGAGAUGAAAAACUGAGCCUAGUGGCGGUAGGCACAUGCCAUGGUGCUUUUCCACUGUGAAGGACGAGUCUGUGUUGGGAUCUCCUGGUGAAGGGCUAAGUGGCCUGGCCUGUCAGGGGUAAGAAUGUGAAUCGGACCCGAGCUAAACACCCUGCCCCCUCCUGGCUUGUUAGCCUCCUGCUGGGCCCACUGGAAAUCCUCAGCCACAGGCACGUUGUGACUGGAUGUUCUUUCCAUACUCAUGUUGAGAUUGUAAAUGAAGGGAGUUCCUGUCGUGGCUCAGUGGUAAGAAACCCGAUUAGUGUCCAAGAGGACACGGGUUCGAUCCCUGGCCUUGCUCAGUGGGUUAAGGAUCCAGUGUUCCCGUGAGCUGUGGUAUAGGUCACAGAUGGCACUCGGAUCCUGUGUUGCUGUGGCUGUGGUGUAGGCCGGUGGUUGCAGCUCUGAUUUGACCCUUAGCCUGGAAACUUCACUAUGCCCAGGUGCAGCCCUAAAAAAAAAAAAAAAGGACAAAAAUAAAAAAAGAUUGUAAAUGAGGGUAAUGUGUGAGAAAGUCAAAAGGAAAAGCUGUUUCUAUUGGCUUAUUUAAGCAAAGA